AGUGAACGCUGGCGGUAGGCCUAACACAUACAAGUCGAACGGCAGCACAGUAAGAGCUUGCUCUUACGGGUGGCGAGUGGCGGACGGGUGAGGAAUACAUCGGAAUCUACUUUUUCGUGGGGGAUAACGUAGGGAAACUUACGCUAAUACCGCAUACGACCUACGGGUGAAAGCAGGGGAUCUUCGGACCUUGCGCGAUUGAAUGAGCCGAUGUCGGAUUAGCUAGUUGGCGGGGUAAAGGCCCACCAAGGCGACGAUCCGUAGCUGGUCUGAGAGGAGGAUCAGCCACACUGGAACUGAGACACGGUCCAGACUCCUACGGGAGGCAGCAGUGGGGAAUAUUGGACAAUGGGCGCAAGCCUGAUCCAGCCAUACCGCGUGGGUGAAGAAGGCCUUCGGGUUGUAAAGCCCUUUUGUUGGGAAAGAAAAGCAGCAGGUUAAUACCCCGCUGUUCUGACGGUACCCAAAGAAUAAGCACCGGCUAACUUCGUG
rnacentral:rRNA from 1 species